AAAUAAAAGGGGGGGGCAGGCCCUAAAACCGCACAAGACAAGCAGCACAAAGAAGCGUACCUGGCGGAAAGCGGCGGACGGGUGAGUAAAGCCUAGGAAUCUGCCUGGUAGUGGGGGAAAACGCUCGGAAACGGACGCUAAUACCGCAUACGUCCUACGGGAGAAAGCAGGGGACCUUCGGGCCUUGCGCUAUCAGAUGAGCCUAGGUCGGAUUAGCUAGUUGGUGAGGUAACGGCUCACCAAGGCGACGAUCCGUAACUGGUCUGAGAGGAUGAUCAGUCACACUGGAACUGAGACACGGUCCAGACUCCUACGGGAGGCAGCAGUGGGGAAUAUUGGACAAUGGGCGAAAGCCUGAUCCAGCCAUGCCGCGUGUGUGAAGAAGGUCUUCGGAUUGUAAAGCACUUUAAGUUGGGAGGAAGGGCAGUAAACUAAUACGUUACUGUUUUGACGUUACCGACAGAAUAAGCACCGGCUAACUCUGUGCCAGCAGCCGCGGUAAUACAGAGGGUGCAAGCGUUAAUCGGAAUUACUGGGCGUAAAGCGCGCGUAGGUGGUUCGUUAAGUUGGAUGUGAAAUCCCCGGGCUCAACCUGGGAACUGCAUUCAAAACUGUCGAGCUAGAGUAUGGUAGAGGGGGGGUGGAAUUUCCUGUGUAGCGGUGAAAUGCGUAGAUAUAGGAAGGGAACACCAGUGGCGAAAGGCAACCACCUGGACUAAAACUGACACUGAGGGGCAAAAGCGUGGGGAGCAAACAGGAUUAAAUACCCCGGGAGUCCACCCCCGUAAACGAUGUCAACUAGCCCUUGGGAGCCUUGAGCUCUAAGUGGCGCAGCUAAAGCAUAAGUUAACCCCCGGGGGGGGUACGGCCCAAGUAAC
rnacentral:rRNA from 2 species